UGGAUCCAUGAAAGUUAGCACUCCCCUUGAUAAAGAUGAAAGAGGUCUUCGUGGCCUUUACAACACAUAUAUGGUUAAGGCAUUGCCACCUACUCUGUGGCAUCUAACCAUGACAGAGC
ensembl:snRNA